UACAGAGACGUCGAGCGUUGUUCGGAUUCAUUGGGCGUAAAGGGUGCGUAGGCGGUGAGGUAAGUCGGAUGUGAAAUCCCAAAGCUUAACUUUGGAAGUGCAUCCGAAACUGCCUUGCUCGAGGACUGGAAGGGAGACUGGAAUUCUCGGUGUAGCGGUGAAAUGCGUAGAUAUCGAGAGGAACACCAGUGGCGAAGGCGGGUCUCUGGACAGUUCCUGACGCUGAGGCACGAAAGCCAGGGGAGCAAACGGG
rnacentral:rRNA from 1 species